CUUUUAUCUAAAACGCAAGCAAUAAAACGGAUAACGGGUGGCUCCCUCUGAAUUUCAGUCAGCCGUAAGCUGAGAGAGUGGCCAACGCCGGAAUCUGGUCUCGCCGGCGGCAGGUUUUCAUUUCGUGUUUGUAACCGAUUGAUGGUAGAAGAAGAUCAGAGACUACAGAAAUGGCAUUUGUAGGAUUGAGAUGCAUUCGGACCCAACCUUUCUUGCUUCACCCUGCUGCUUUGUUUACAAAAAGGAGGAGAGUUUUGUAUUUCUCUGUGAAAUCCUCUCAAUCCCAAACAGCAACUCAAGAAAAGCAAAGGCCUAUAGCAAUUUCACCACAUUUUGAUAAACAGAUUAUUGAUAGAAUCUCCAAGGAUUAUGAAGCUAUUAUUGGCAUUGAAACCCAUGUUCAGCUCUCCACUCUCACCAAGGCCUUCUGCAGCUGCCCUUACAAUUAUGGUGUUUCACCGAACACGAAUAUCUGCCCCAUCUGCAUGGGGCUUCCUGGUGCCUUGCCUGUUUUGAACACAAAAGUGAUUGAGUUUGCAGUGAAGUUGGGUCUUGCACUAAACUGCAGUUUGUCUUUCAACUCAAAGUUUGAUAGGAAACAGUACUUUUACCCAGAUCUUCCCAAGGGCUAUCAAAUAUCUCAGUUUGAUAUCCCAAUUGCGAGUGGCGGUUUUAUUGACCUUGAUCUUCCUAUUGAGUAUGGUGGGGGGCAUAGGCGGUUUGGUAUCACCAGGGUUCACAUGGAAGAGGAUGCUGGAAAGCUGCUUCACUCUGAAAGUGGAAGCUACUCUCAGGUUGACUUGAACAGGGCAGGAGUGCCCUUGCUUGAGAUUGUUUCUGAACCUGACAUGAGAACUGGGAUUGAAGCUGCAGAGUAUGCUGCUGAGUUACAGAGGUUGGUUCGAUAUUUGGGUGUAAGUAAUGGAAACAUGCAAGAAGGUUCCCUUCGGUGCGAUGUGAAUGUGUCGGUUCGACCUAUUGGGCAGUCACAGUUUGGAACAAAGGUGGAGAUAAAAAACUUGAACUCAUUUUCAUCCAUGAGCAGAGCAAUUGAUUUUGAGAUUUCAAGACAAGUGCUUCUCCAUAGUCAAGGCCAAAGUGAUCAAAUUGUACAGGAAACCAGACUCUGGGAAGAAGGCGCUCAGAAAACAAUUACAAUGAGGAAAAAGGAAGGACUUUCUGAUUAUCGAUAUUUUCCAGAACCUGAUCUCCCCGAAGUCAUUCUCACAAAAGAAUAUGUUGAUAAUAUCCGUGAUUCUUUGCCUGAACUUCCAGAAAUGAAGCGUAGAAGAUAUGAGAGUAUGGGCCUGAGCAUGCAGGAUGUGCUUUUCCUGGCAAACGACAUUAGUGUGGCUGAGUUUUUUGAUGCAACUAUUGCAAGGGGGGCUGAAGUGAAGCUGGCUGCAAACUGGAUAAUGGGUGAUAUUGCAGCCUACAUGAAAAAUGAGAAGCUAACUAUAAAUGAUAUCAAGCUCACUCCAGAAGAGCUUGCUGAAUUGAUAGCUUCCAUAAAAGGUGGUACCAUUAGUGGAAAGAUCGGGAAAGAGAUCCUUUUCGAGUUGCUAGCUAAAGGUGGAACUGUAAAUGGGCUGAUUAAAGAAAAGGAUUUGGUUCAGAUCGCCGAUCCGGCCGAGAUAGAGAGAAUGGUGGAGAAAGUACUAGCAGAGAAUCCAAAUCAGCUAGAGCAGUACCGUGGUGGCAAAACCAAGCUGCAAGGCUUUUUUGCUGGCCAGGUGAUGAAAGCAUCCAAAGGUAAAGCAAAUCCAGGGCUUCUAAACAAGAUUCUCUUGGAGAAACUAAACGCCAAAAGCUGAUGAUUUUGUUCAAUGACUACUCGAUGAUGAUUGAUAAUCAUGGAUGUUGAAACCCGAGUUGCUCGAGAAGACGCUGACUGUAAAAUAUUGUAGCGAUUUUAGCCUUGUUCCUUCUUCAAGCUCUUCUGAUUCACGUUCUAUUUUAAUCAUAAUAACUCUAAAAUUAUAUGUUUUCCUUAGAGUAAUUCUAUGUUGAGUGACAUUUUAUAAUUUUUCUCGAGAGAGCAAAACGUCUUAAAAGACUAGAAAUAACUUUAUCAA